GGGCAGACUUUUGUGGUUUGUGUAAACUUGGGCAUCUUGUCCUUUUCCUCUCCAUGCCUCAGUUUCUUCAUUUACGACAUGGAAGUGAAGAUGGCAGCUACCUCAUGACUGGUGCAGAGUGUUCCGAACUAGGCAGUGAGCAUACUAAAAAGGAGUGAUGGGUUUUCUAGGUACCAGCCUCUUGCUUAUGAGUCGUCCACUCUCCGGGUACUCCUGGGAUGGCAGGAGCAGCCAUGGACCCAUCUUGACAUGGCAGUUCCUGCUGCAGCUGUGAAGGGGGUGGCCUGGCUCGGGGGACUGCACAAGAACGAGACCCACGUGAAUUACAAGCUCCCCCCAGGUAAAUCCUAAAGCACCCCUGGACAAGGCCUGAGACCACCAACCUGCUGUGUAACAGCG
rnacentral:lncRNA from 1 species